rnacentral:rRNA from 1 species
AAGAUACCAUUGCUUCCUAUGAGAUGGACCUGCGUUGUAUUAGCUAGUUGGUGAGGUAACGGCUCACCAAGGCGACGAUACAUAGCCGACCUGAGAGGGUGAUCGGCCACACUGGGACUGAGACACGGCCCAGACUCCUACGGGAGGCAGCAGUAGGGAAUCUUCGGCAAUGGACGGAAGUCUGACCGAGCAACGCCGCGUGAGUGAAGAAGGUUUUCGGAUCGUAAAGCUCUGUUGUUAGAGAAGAACGGUAAUGGGAGUGGAAAAUCC